rnacentral:rRNA from 2 species
UAAUGUUUGAUGUUCUAACGUGGAUCCGUAAUCCGGGUUGCGGACAGUGUCUGGUGGGUAGUUUGACUGGGGCGGUCUCCUCCUAAAGAGUAACGGAGGAGCACGAAGGUUGGCUAAUCCUGGUCGGACAUCAGGAGGUUAGUGCAAUGGCAUAAGCCAGCUUGACUGCGAGCGUGACGGCGCGAGCAGGUGCGAAAGCAGGUCAUAGUGAUCCGGUGGUUCUGAAUGGAAGGGCCAUCGCUCAACGGAUAAAAGGUACUCCGGGGAUAACAGGCUGAUACCGCCCAAGAGUUCAUAUCGACGGCGGUGUUUGGCACCUCGAUGUCGGCUCAUCACAUCCUGGGGCUGAAGUAGGUCCCAAGGGUAUGGCUGUUCGCCAUUUAAAGUGGUACGCGAGCUGGGUUUAGAACGUCGUGAGACAGUUCGGUCCCUAUCUGCCGUGGGCGCUGGAGAACUGAGGGGGGCUGCUCCUAGUACGAGAGGACCGGAGUGGACGCAUCACUGGUGUUCGGGUUGUCAUGCCAAUGGCACUGCCCGGUAGCUAAAUGCGGAAGAGAUAAGUGCUGAAAGCAUCUAAGCACGAAACUUGCCCCGA